GAGGUUGUGGCUCAGAGGUAGAGCGCUCACCUGGCAUAUGUGGGGCAUGGGUUCAAUCCUCAGCACCACA
rnacentral:tRNA from 1 species